ensembl:misc_RNA Y_RNA Y RNA
GGCUGGUCUGAGUACAGUGGUAUUUAUUAAUACAACUAAUUAAUCACAACCAGUUACAGAGUUCUUUGUUCCUUCUCCACUCCCAUGGCUUCACUUGACUAUCUUUAA